rnacentral:lncRNA from 1 species
ACUGUCCCAAGUAAGUAACUUCAAAUAUGUAAUCAUAUAUGAACCUCAACUUUGAAAUAUCAAAUAAAAUCAACCUCUUUUAAAGAAAAAUACAAGCUUCACUUCUUUAGAAAGCUAUUAACGUCUAUAUUUCUCAGAAAUUUACAAAAACACAAUAUCUCAAGUGUAUAAGAAGUUAUAUGACAAAAGGCAAAAUCUGCCAC